CACGCAAGCGAGGAUGGGGGCUGCUGGUUUAGACGACCACAACCGCAUUAUCAGUGAGAGAUUUUCCCAAUGUGUGUGUGUGUGUGUGUGUUUCCUUUUUCUGUGUUUGAGGGAGUGAAGAGAGUUUUGUGCUUUUUUUAAUGAGGGACGAUUUUGUGUGCGUUACCCACAGACUGUAAUGAAGUCAAGUAGAGAGAGAGAGAGAGAGAGAGAGUGUGUGUGUAUGUGUGUGUGUUUGUGUGUGUGUGUGUGUGUGUGUGUUACUAUAAUUGACUAUAAUAGAACAAUCUGAUUGUAAUUCCUUCUGAGUGAGACGUUCACACCGCGCUGAAAGAACUGAACUCUCACACUUUAACAACCCAUCCUCACAGAUGAUUUUUCACAUGUCGCUGUUGCCGCCCACAAAGGCUAACGUAAAUAAAUACAUGCCGUCAUUAAGGACAAAAAAAAAAAGUCGGCGCAGAUCCCACAGCAUUCCGCAACACUAGUCCCAAAAGGUCUAAGGACUUGUGAGCUGAAUCUGAACCAGGUCCUGGAAAUGGGGGAUGGAGUUUGACAGUUAAAGCUUUGACCCCCCUCCCACCCCUUCUGAGAGUGGACUAGCGUGGUUGACUGGGUCAGCUGAGGGGAGCAGAGAUUCUGGCUUGUGGUCUGGUCAGUUUGUCUUUUUGGAUUAUGUUUGUCUUUAUAUUAACUAUUCUCUAUCUCUUGUGCUUUUAGUUUCUUUCUCACUUUUACAAGAUCAUUUUCUUUCUCUCUUACACAACUUUGCACACACAAACACCAGGGUCCUUCACUUCUUCCUCAUGCUUCCCCCCUCUGAACUCAGGAUUCUUGACAUUUUUCCCUUUAUCUCCAGAACCAGCUCAUCAGUUCUGGAUGCUUAACAUCCCAGAGAUGUUGGCUACCUGAGCCUGAGGAUGAGUUUGUUCUGACUAUAUAAGGCGUCUGUCUUCUCUCUUCUGGACCUGCUCCUCAUUCUUCAAUCUGGCCUGCUUAACAGUGGAAAUAUCUACAGGGGACCUUUUGCUUUGCUUUCCACCACAUAGGGUCAGAAAUGUUUAUCUGCAGAGUCCUUUUUAAAUGUGGGUUGUGGAUGGGACGAACGGAGCACGUAGGGCUGCUUUACCCCUGAGCCUUGAUGUGUGCAUGUUGGAGGAAUUAUAGGUUGUGUGGGAAAUGAGGCAAAGUGGAAAGUGUUUUUGCACUUAAACCUCAGUAAGGUAUUAUUGGCAUCCACAUUUCAACAUCAAAAGAUCGAGCGCUUACUUGGAAUUAUGCAUUAUUUUAAGUUGAUUAAAACUCUGCAAAUACCAGCUUAGGGGGACAAAACCAAGCUGCAGCUCUCUGUCUCAUGGUUUAAGGCUGCAUGAAUCAAUAUAUUUUAUAUCAACAAUAAAUAAAACGAAUAUGUGUAAUGUGGAAAGUGUUACUCUUGGAGGCAAACCUGCAGAGAAUUAUCACUUCUCGAAAGGCAAAAUAACAACUGUUAUUUCUUUCACUGCCCUCUAGUGGCAAAAAUUAACACAAGUUUUUUUGUAAUGGGCUGAUUAAAAAAAAAGUUACUUUUGGCAUUUCAAACAUUCAUCCAUUACAAAUACACUGAUCUGUUUCUAUUGAGACAAUACAGCAUGUCUAACCCCUGGCUGGAUAUAAACACUGUGGACAGUGGUGUGUUUAAAAUUGGGUCUAUUUUCUCUAUCUGUAGUUGUAUAAAAACCCUUUUGGGUGUAACAGUUUGAUUAAUGGCCCUGCUCUUCGACUAGAUUUAGAUUAGGCCUGCGAGCCCCGCUUGGAAGUUAUUACUUUAUAAUCGGAACAUGUAAGCAAAGGCCAUGUGCUUUUCAUCACUCCAGGAGUGACAAUUGCCUAAUGAAAAAAGUAAGAUCAAAGAUGUACAAGCAUCGUGAAAUGUUUUAAUGUGGACAAGUGUUGGUAUGAAGCUGUGUUUUUGUUGUUUGGUUCACAAUUUCUCAACAGCUUUUCUUUCUUUAUUCCUCUCUUCUUUUUGGUGUGGCUGCAGUCAUUUCUUUUGAAGUUACAUGAGUCACUUAUUCCCUCUUGAGGUGACAGUGUUCGAGCCAAGUUCCCAUUGUGUUCAUCCUAAAUUUCCAUUUCAGGAUGCAAGCUAUUCCAAGCCAUAGCUGGUUAAAAAUAAACCAAAAAAAAACCCAAUAUGAGAUGUAGAAGAAAUAACAGAGAGAGGGGUGGGAGCAGAAUAAAGGGAACAGAUGUGGAAAGGCUGUUCCAUGUUUCAUUUAGCUCAUCCAGAUACCUGCUGAAUGUGUCAGACUUUACUAAAAACAACUCAGAAAGUAUUGAUUUUCUUUCACGCCCUGAGAUCAAUACUCGGGAGGACACCUGCAGAGUUUUCUGGCCUCUGUUUCACACUUUUUAACCUCAGCUCCAGAAGCCUUGAAGGAGCACUGUGUCUAAAAUCUGACUUACACUGAGCAGACCACAUUUUUCAUGGUACCUAUCAGGGGCAGGACAGAGCCAGCUGGCCAGUGUGUAGAAUCUAGGACAUGUUUCCGCAAGAGAGGCAACGAAGCCUUCUUGUGAGCUGGGAAACCGAAUCAAUGAAUCUGUGAAUGGGCGAGAAUAUACAGAAUGGAAGAAGGUGAAUAAUUUGAUGGCUUAUUAUGGCCAUGAACUGAGCUGCCGGAGACAAAGAUUAACUGCUACACCUUAUCACUAAUAAUAACUGAGCUCCAGCAUGUGCUGAGAAGUUCAAAAGGUAACACUGGUGUUAUACAAGCUACUUCAUGUCGUGGUAUGUUACCAGCAGAUUCAGUCUGCUGUUUAUUUCAUGCACAGUUUUAUUUGUCGGUUGAACUUAAUUUACCUAACUUUUCUGGCUGAAAUAAAUCUUGCAUUUGUGGUGUACCAGUCAUGGAAACAUUUUUACAUGACUAACAUUAACAAUGAUGUAAUUCCAAUUUUAGUUGCAAUUUCUUUUGGCCACAGCUGGCUUAAGAUUAUAGUUAUAUUAAUAAUGCUCUAGCAGAGGCUAAACUAACGCCUUUGGGUGACAUCGUUGUUGCUCACAAUCACUUCCUGCUUUCAUCACACCUAAGACACACCUUUAGCUGCCAGCAGUUCCUCUCCAAUUGGUCUAAACCACUCAUCUAAAAGUGAAUAGCUAGGGUUCUGGAAAUAUGGAUUUUAAUUUGCAAGUUGCUUCACAAGGUUAGCAAUGAGCAAAACUGAUAAAAAGUAAGAUUUUGUAAAAGUAAUUAUUGGGAAUUGCAUCAUUCAUUAUUGAUGUUCUUGUAUAGUUAUAGGUGAAGAAAAGUGUUUGAGGGAUCAUUGGGGCCAACUGCUAAUUUUAGAUCUCCAAUUUGAGAUCCCAAACUAAUGAAUCCCUCUGAAAGGUUCUAAAAUAGUUACUUCUUUUGGGAUCUUACAUAUCCACAUUAUCAAUAGACUAAACCUUCAAUAGACUUUCUCCCUGUCUUUCAAAAGCAAAAUUUCUUCAAGUUUGUGGGCGCCAGUUGGUCGCAGAAAUGUUUGUCUUGCAUUAACGACUUACUGCCCUCCCCUGGAAAAAUACUGUACGCAUGUAAGUGGAUGGGUUUGUCAGUCAACGCCAUUGAUUGCAUUUAGGAAUUUUAAAAAAUUCCGCAGAACUUAUGGGUAGACCAGGUGGUUCACUUUUCCUCUCCACAAGGUUUGUUUCUGCCAGCCCUCCCCUCCACAGCUGAAUGCCAGCCAACUCAGCAUCAGCAUCUAGAACAGACCUCCCCAGUCGGUGAUGAUUAUGAUGGAUGCCCUGGACCCGCUCUGCCCCAACACGUUACCUAACACCUACUGCUGGCUAUUCAUCAGCUUGCAGCCACACUGAAGCUAAUCCAGUUAACAGAGCAGACGUGGAGAGAAAAGAGCAUGGGUGUACUGAAACUUUUCACCUCAUAAAAUGCCACUGAAACGUGGCUGCGUUGAUUUAAUCUCUUUGUGACUCUACAAAGCAACAUCUUACAUAUCACUUAUUUCAGAACUAGGAAUGUCACUUGGUUAUGGAGCCUUAAGUGUGCCACUGGAAUAAUUUUAUUUCAAUAAUUGUGUCAUUAUGUUUUAAGCAGCUUUAAAAUGCUAUUAUAAAUUGGAUAAUUUUCUAAUGCAUUUUUCAUGUACAAAUUUUUUUACAAAACAUCAAUGAACUAUAGGCUUUUUUGUCCAAUUGGGGGCAGCAGAACAAGCAGUAAUCACGACAGUGUCUUAUAUUUGAGUAUUGCUAGCUGGGGGCACAACAGUUGCACACAUUUCAAGUCAUAUGGCCUUCUAGAUGUUCUCGUCAUUGAAUUGAUAUGGAGCAACGUUACAUCAAUUCAGUGUUUGUUUCAAAUGUAAAUCUAACAUUUACUGUCUUUUUAUACAUCUUAGUGUCAGGGACAUUGUAUCGAGUGUUGUUGAGCCUGUAGCUGCAUAAUCAUACUCAUGUAAAGACGGUCAGUCUUAAAAUACUAUAUUCGCCAUGAUUAUGACUAUUGAUGAGAUGAAAUGGGUCAGGACUCCUGACCUGUUCAAAACCGGCCUGCAGAAACCAAUGGGUGAUGUUUAUAUACAGUCUAUGCUCCUGACCCAUCCAUGUCAAUGAAUCAGGAGAUGUACAAAAGGAAGCAGCUUUCAUAGAACAGGUUCAGUCUGAUAUCAAAAGGGGCUGAUUUAAAUUAACUUUGUUUUAUUCUUAAUGAUUAAAAAAAGACAGAUUAUGAUUAUCAGCUAACUGAAGUAGUUGGUGGCCUAAUUUCAGAGGUGUGUUCUUGCUCUCUCCUUUACUGACUGAAGUCCAGAUCCUCUCAGACUGACCUAACAAAUUAUCUGCUGCUUCAGCAUUUAUUGGUAGAUACAAUUCAUAAUUGCCACAGGCAGGAUAGACUUGACACAUUCAUAUCAUUAGGAACUGGAACUGGAUAUACAAGCUAUGAUAACCAUGAUAGUCCCACAGUUUACAGACUCCAAACAGAGUAAUCAAUAUUAGUAAAUUAUUAAUGUACUCUGUGAUGUUGAGAUAUUCCAGCUAUGUGUGGAGAUGAGGGAAUCUCUAUUAGUACUUCUUUGAAUUGGUGGAGUAGUUUGUCUACAGACAAUUACUAUAUUGUUUGACUGUUUCUCAACUGAUGUUUUACAGACUGUGAUUUAUUAGCACGUUUCACAGUUUUUAUGUUAUUUAUAUUAUUGCAGUUAAAACAGCCUGUUCUAAGAUUACUCCUGGGUUCAGCUUCAGUUGAAGAAAAUGUCAACUUAAAAACACACUUAUAUUUGUAACAAUGCAAAUAAAUACAAAAUAUGUAUUCUUUCUUCUUCUUAUUUCAUUUUUUGGUGGACUAUAACAAACACCAUUUUCAAGUCUGACACUGUGGCACUCCCACAGUUCCCAUAAUAAAUAGGAAGUGUAGCAAGGCCAUGGGGUCAGUUUCAGAGGUGGAUAGUAACGAAGUAGUUGUACUUCGUUACACUACUUAAGUAGUUUUUUUUAGGAUCUGUACUUUACUUGAGUUUUUUUUUAAUCAUGAGUUUUACUUUUACUCUACUACGUUUAAAAGUUAAAAAAUAUACUUUUAUUCCGUUACUUUGACGUUUGCCACCUCGUUACUCGUUACAAAUUAAAAUAGAAAUAUAAUUAAUCAUCAAAGGAUUAUCUGGAAUGGGAAUGUCCGAGAGGACGAGAAGAACAACGUACGGUACUCUCGCGAAGAUUAGAGGUAAGGCCGGGAUGGUGGAGAUCGACAUGGCUACCUCCGCAGUUAACGUUGAUGAGGAAGACACGGAAGAUGUUACCACUCUGACAGCAUCUCCUUUGGUAGAAGACGACAGUCACCCGCCAUGGACAUACCUGGCAACAAUGUUUGGCUACCUUGGGAUGGGGGAAAAUCCAAAAACAUACAGAAUGAAGUGCCUCUUGUGCCUACCAAAGUGCCACGAGGUAAAGGCGUUUAAGAAAUCUCCAUCCAACCUUAAGAAACACAUUGAGGUAAGUGAAUUAAGUAACGUUAAUCUCUGCCAAUGUCAUUUCAUGUGCCAGGAGUAUAAAUAUGUAAUUACUGAUAAAACAUAGUUUUAGCCAACAUUAUGUGCAAGUUAACGUUGCUAGUAACGUUAGUAUCACACGUGGUGGCGUGGACAAGUAUGGAUAAACCUACGCGACACACACCCACACACACACAGUAUUUUAUUACACUUUAUUCUAGAUAAUGUCUCGUGCAACUUGUUCUGCAGGGGUGUCGAUAAAAAAGGGUUAGCAUCUUAACCUACUCGAAGGAGGCAGUUUUCCUCCUGAAUGAUACAUUUUCAAUAUCAAGUGCUUCACGUUAUUAUUGAAAAAUACACAAACAGAUCGUACAAGGAGCUGUAGUGAAAUAGCAUGCUGUUCAAUAAAAUAGAUUUGUUUUUGUGUAAUAAUUACCAGAUAUAGAGCACAUCUGCAAAAGUUGGAACCAAAACUGCACUUAUGUUAACCACAAAAAAGGGGGGAAAGCAAAUGUCCAAGCUCAGUGUGCUGCAUGAUUGAAAGAUAAAAUAUAGUUAACAGUUGACCAACAUUUUUAUCAAUGUUGGACAUGCCCACAAUUGGGACACCAGUGUGAAAGUGGUUAGAACAAUCCAGACCUGUCAUUGUGGUAACUGUUGAAUGAUGUCUUGAGUAUCAUUUAAACUAAUAAUAUUAUUUAUUUUAUUCAUGUAUUUUUCAUGUAGAGAGCACAUCCACACCAUCUGAAAAAAUAUGAGCAGCUGACUUCAAAGAAAAGAAAGAGGGCUUCGGAAGCUGGGACCUCCACCCUCAAACAGACCACCUUGCUGGAUACCCGAUCCAUGUCUCAGAGUGCAGUUGACAGGGCCAUUGUUAAGUAUGUUGUCAACGGGCUCCAGCCAUUGUCAACUGUUGAAAAUGAAGCCUUCAGGGAGCUUCUCGCAGAUCUCCUUCCUACUGUUAAGUCAUCACACGGGCCACCCUGCGAUCAAUGAUUGAAGAUUUAGCAAAGACUAUGAAAAACAUGGUAACUGAGGAGAUGAGUGAAGUGGACCACAUCGCCAACACUAAAGACUGCUGGUCAGUUAGGAGAAGGAGCUUCCUUGGUGUGACUGCCCACUUGGUCUACCCUACAGACCUAACUAGACAAUCAGCAGCCCUAGCUUGCAGACAACUAAGAGGUUCCCACACCUUUGAUGUUUUGUCCGCCGCACUCAAUGCCACCCAUUCUGAAUAUGGCAUCAGGAACAAAGUUGUGAGGAAAACAACCGAUAAUGGCUCCAACUUCCUAAAGGCUUUCCAAGUUUUUAGUGGGGACAAGAACAACAAUGUAGCAGAAGAGGCAGAGAAAGAGGAUGAGGAAGGGAACGAGAUGGAGGAGUGUCUACAGUUGAUGCUGAAAAAGCAACAGCCAGCGAUGGAUACAAAAAACUGUAACGCUCAACAUUCAGCAAGUGUCAUGGGCUGUGGAAUAAGUGUGGAAGAUCCUGCCAAGCAGCUGAAGCUGUGGAAGAUGCCUGCUCCCUCCAGCUGCUUCGACAAAAUGCCACCAGGUGGAACUCGCUGUUUAUGGCUGUGGAAAGGCUACUCAAGAUUCUGAGAGAUAAGGGAGAGCCAGCUUUGAGAGAGAUCUGUGCAGAAUUGAAGGUUCCAAUGUAAAUUGGAAUUAUGUAUUUUUUAUUUCUUUAUUUAUUUUUGCCUGCCAUGGCUUCUGUGAAUGUCCCUGACUUGUGUCAUAUUUAAAUGAGACUCGUUUAAAAACCACUUAACCCCUUUAGAAAUGAUCCCCGAGGUGAAAGUACUAUGCUCCAACCUACCUACUACUGCAUUCUAGUGGUGGUAAAAAUAUUCGAUCGCUCAAGUAAACUUAACCAUUAUAAGGAGCCGUAGACAACCUCAGAACUGGUUCAUACACAAUGUACUGUAAAACCUUGCUUUGUAUGUUUUCUAGGUUACUGAUUAUUGGGUACAAUAUUCAUGCAUAAUGUAAAACAGUGGUUUGUUUUCUCCCUAACAGAUUCCAUCCAGUUGAGCACACUUUUCUCAAAGAGUACUACACCACCAUGAGCCCUGUCGCCCAGUCCAUCAACAUCCUCCAAGGAGAAGCGGAAGUCCAGAUGGGAUGGCUUCAUCUGACGAUUUCCCUGCUGAGCAGCAAACUGGAAAAAAUAAAGAUUGCACUGAAGCACUGCAAGCCAUUGGUUGAAGCCAUUCAAGUGGGCAUCCAGAACUGUUUUGGCGAGAUGUUACGAGACCCUGAAUUGAUUGCUGCAGCGAUUCUCAUCCCAAAGUUCAGAACGGCCUGGAUCAAAGAUAAUGCUACACUGAGAAUCAGGUUGGACUACAUCAGGGAGCAGUUGGAGGAUCCUUCCAUUUCAGCAGAUGUCGGAUCCGGCUCAUCUGAUGAGGGAGAUUUCUUCCAUGUCCUGAAAAGUUCCCACGAAACACCAAGCGCCACCAAGCAGCUUGAUUCGUACCUGACCUACUCAACAGACACAUCAAGAUACUGAAGACGUUUCCUGUGGUUCUCAAGUUGUCUGUCAAACUCAACACACCUCUGCCUGCUUCUGCAGCCUGUGAAAGACUGUUCAGCAUAGCAGGUCUCAUCUUCAGCCCAAAAAGAGCUUGGCUAGCUGCGAACACUUUUGAAAAUCAACUUCUGCUGAGGAUGAACCGCAAGUUCAACUUCUCAAUCACCACUUGAACCAGAACCAUAGAGUUUGUGUUUGGUGUUAGUAUGCCUCAGCCCAUGAGGAUUCCCCCAUCAUAGUUUAAAAGUGGAAAAGUGGUCCUUAAGGGAAAUUUUGCAAUACAGUUUGUGCAAGACAUUGUUCAGAAAAGUGAUGUGCAACCAGUCUGCAGUGAUGGUGCUGUGUGUAGUGAGAAUGUAUUUUUUUAAGUUGUAUUCUUAACCAGACACAAGGCACCUUAUUUAGUUGUGUUCUCUGAGGCAGAGAGGAGGCACUUUUUUGUGUUCUUAGGCAGACAGACGCUUUAUUUAUAGUUAUGUCCUCAGGCAGACACGAGACACUUGAUUCACUCACUCCAAAUGUUUGCUCAGGUGUUUUUUUGUUUUUGUUUUGUCAUACCACAUCUAUUUCAUUCACCUGAAAGAGAACAAGGGGAGAACCAUUUUUGGUUGUUUUGCUUCUUUUUAUUCAUACUAUAAAAAUACUUUGUACUUUACUUGUACUUUUGAUACUUGAGUAUAUUUUUUUCACAAGAUACUUUUGAUACUUAAGUACAUUUAAUGUGAGCUACUUUAAGACUUUUACUCAAGUGAUUUUCUUAUGGGUGACUUUAACCAAAGUCAUUUUCAGUUAUGGCAUUUGUAAUUUUACUUAGUUAUUUUUUUUCAAGUACUUUAUACACCUCUGCUCAGUUUGCACUUGGCGACAACAAAUUUUUUGUCUGCAUGCUGAAAAACUUGAAAACUUUUCUAGAUCUCAAAGGUCACUGAGUGUCUUUUUUCCAAUGAUUUCUAAGUAGAUUCAUGGGUGUUUGUUUGCAAUGGACAUCAGAGAUAAUGAUGUCCUCAAAGUGUAAGUCCCACUGAAACUGAGUUUUGAAUGGCUAAGAUUUGACUGCGUUACAGCGGUGGCUGGUGAUAAAAAAAAUUGUGGGGGGGGGGCAAAGAAACAGAAAACAGCACUACAAAGCUCAGCAACAAAACAGCACUAGAUUUUUUUAAGAAGAGCGGGACAAUACAAUACCAUACAAAAUUAAAGUUACACACAUAAGAAGAUAGUGACUCUCCUGAGUUUUUUUUCACUAAAUCAUCCCACUCACUAUCAAAAUAUAUGAUUACUUGAACAUACAUUUUGCUCUCCUUUCCUUUUGGCCAUAAAGUUGUUGUUGUGCCUGGAGUUGCACCAGUUUGGAGACACCGGGAAGUGGUUGUACGACAGUACCGAGUCCAUGCCCGGCUGUGCCCAGGCAGAGAGGCUUGACACACCAUGCAGCGCCGGAUAAUAGGGUGACACUAAGCGGGCAGUUACUUUGCCGUCGUUUACGCUGAUAUACGAGAAUCAUCUCCAUGUUUGAGCCGUUGCCUUCGUGUGGUCACGAGCUGAACUUAGAGCUGAUUGUGUUAAACUCCAGCUUGUUUACAUCCAAGGCCAUUUCCUUACGGCAGGACCCCUGACACUGUCGCGAGAUUACCACUGGAUAAAAUAACAUUUAUCCAAUUCUGAUUGGCCAGGGACGCAGAGAGCUGCGCCCAGAGGAGAAUCUUGAAGAAACCUAUUAGAGACCAGCUGCAGGUCAAAUGCUUGCCUGAAGUUGAAGGAUGAACAUACUGUUACGGCCGGCUCGAAAAGCCACAACACAAAUAGAGAAAUCAGCAGGGGAAACAGCCGGAUGGUAAAUAAAGAGAACAUUUAUUGGAAGUAUAAACAAUAAAUGAUAAUGGUGGCCGGCAUCAUGGAGAAAGAAUGAGUGGAGAAUCAGCAGCUGCUUUUAUAGACUCCGCCCACAGAUUCACAAAGGUGGCUGGAAUCAGCCAUCAGAGCUGCACCUAGAACAGAAAGACACAGAACAUACACACAGAGAGAGAGAGAACCCUCUCCCUUAAGAUGAUAUGGCUGUCAUCCUAAGUGGAAAGUUGCAGGGGCAUUAUACAUGCCAAAUGCCAUGACAGUAUACUGUAGGAAAUUGUCUGGGGUCACAAAUGCAGAGAUUUCAGAAGCACGGGCUGUUAAGGGCUCAUGCCAAUAUCCCAUGAGCAAGUCUAACGUGGUGACAAAGCGAGCAGCUCCAACUCUGUCAAUACAGUCCUCCACACGAGGAAGAGGGAAGGAAUCUGAUUUUUGUUACAGCAUUUAUUUUUCAAAAAUCAUUACAAAAGCAUGGUGUUCCAUCCGACUUUGGAACCAACAAACAUGGAGAGCUCCAUGAACUGGAACUAGGAAUAGCAAAGCCAUGCUUUUGUAAAUAUUGCCUUCUGCAUCUGAGCCCUUUUUGUGGGAUUAACACGAUAAGCCUGCUGCUUAAUAGGACGAAAAUCACCAACAUCAAUGUCAUGUUUUAAGACAGUCGUUUGGGUGGGUGCAUCUGAAAAUAGAGCCCUGUGACUUUCAAUCAACCCUAUGACGUCACUCUUAUGGGAUUCAGACAGAUGAGACAGAUUUUUCUCCAAAUUGCUUAACACCUGUGAGUAUUGCAAUCGUGCACACAGAACAGGAGAAUCUUGCAUGACCAAGUCAUCUUCCAGGGGCAAGUAGGAGGGAAGCACUGAGGCUAAAGCUACAGGCAACACCUUAGGUGAAGUUGAUGAAGCUGCGUCACUAGGCCUGGCAACAUAAGCCUUCAGCAUGUUCACAUGGCAUACACGUGUCUUACGUCUUACGACUUUUACUAUACUUUUUCACAUUUACCUGUAUCCUGUAGUUGCCACAGUGUGGCCACUGUUCAGCAGAAGUUACAUAGUUUAACUUGAGAGAAAUGUAACUUUUACCAACAUAUUUUAUGUUGUUUUAGACUGGGUAGGAAUUUUCAAAUUCUACACGUAGUAACUAUCUAUAUUUUUCUGUCACGAUUAUAAUUCUAUGACCACGACUAUAAUUCUAUGACCAUGACAUCUCUCUUCUAUCGUCUAUCAGUGUUUCUGUUCUUCAGUAUGACUCGUGUACUGAAAUUAUUGACCAGGGAGCAUGUAGAUGAGCAGCCUGUACUGAUCAAUCCUGUGUGGACACAAGUGCAACAUGAGGGACACUGUGUGUGUGCGUUCAUGCGUGCGUGCGUGUCCGUGCAUGUGUGUGUGUGUGUGUGUGUGUGUGUGUAGGUUAGUAACCAAACAACAUCUGAGGACAACCCUGGGGCAUCACACACAACACACACACGCACACACAACCCUGCACAAACAGCGUUAAUGAGUGUGUUUCCACUCAACACUGAUUCCCCCCCCCCACAGUGUUUCCACAGGGUGCUUUUCCAUAUACAUGCACACACACCUGAAAUAGACAGGUAGAAGUAAAAGACAAGGUAUACACUAGCAAAAAAAAUACAGUUAUAUCAAUUUUUAUUUUGCCACUCCCUGCCUAGCCCAAAGCCGAAUCGCUGACACUAACAUCUACCUUUUUCAAAUUGGGGACACAGCUUUUGUCCCCUAAUGACUGAUUUUCGGUCUAAAAUGUAUCCCCAAAGGUAGCCAAUGACACACAAACACACACACACACACACACACACACACACACACACACAGAGUGCUUUGUCUGGAGAUAUUUGGCCUUUUUCCUGCAGGUGGUUCAUUCUCAUGUGGGACAGUUUCUCUAUCCGUUAUCCAAGUAGCUUACGUUCUGCAUUAGUUUUCUUUUAAAGUUUUUUUGACUCAGUGACUCAGUUUCAGACUGUGGUGAGGACUAAACCAGGGAUUCAAGUUCUCCGUGUCUACAACGGAAAUCUGUCAACUAGAAUUUCGCAUCCAUUGUAAGACUUCUAUGGUCAAAGUAAUCUUACGGAGUGUCAAACUGAACAAACAGAAAAACUGUCUUGAAAGUUCAGCACCGCUCAGGAGAAAGCGAAUACCGUAAUGACUCUAAUAAGGUAUCGCUGGGGCAGUAAAACUGCGUGUUUAUUCAUUACAACCAACAGAUAUCAAUUUCUAAUGGAGGAAGUACCAGCGUAAUUAAGGUAUUUUACAGAUCGUUGCAUUGUGGGUUAUAUUUACCAUUUUAUGUUACUAGGCUAGCAAGUGCUUUGAAGUCCGUCUGUAGUCGAGAACGGCUAUUUGUGUGCUCCUGUGCGGCGUAGUGCUCCCUCACCUUGUACAUGUGCUCGGGUACACAAGCGUGAAUAACAAGCUGAUCCUGCGGAGUGAUCCCUGUGCUGUAGUUUUUAUUGCCGAAGUAACCUGCAGUAAUUGAGCCUAGUAAAGACCAGCUGAGGACUGAAGACCUGCAGGACUCAGUCCUCAGAGCUCUGAAGCUGCUGCUGCUCAAAGAUCUGCUCGCCUGUCUAUUCUAAGUUCCUUCCUUCAGUGAAGGUCCACUCAGUACACUGAUCCCUGAACUGGAGAAUCAGCUGUCGUUAUUGACAAUGUCUUUUAUGUAGUUCAGAAGAGAACAGAAGCCUCUCUGCUUCCCUUAUAUAUAAAAUAUGUAUAUGAAUAUUAACUUAAUUUCUUUGAAGAACACAAAACAUAUAUGUUAGUGGAAAUUGGACUGGUUGGCCACCCAUGGUCUAUAGCAAGUUUUUUUUUUAGUUUUUUUUUUUUUACAGUUAAUCAGCCUUUAAUUAUGUUUGUUUGGUCCAGUUUAUCUUGGAGGAACAUGUCUUUACUUUAGAAAUCCACCAGGGAGAAGAAAUCCAGACUCUAGAUUACUCAGGGGCAGACGUAAAGGUAGAUGGGGAAAAACCUUUUUUUUGCUUUAAUUCCUGGGACUAAACUGAAUCAGCAUUUCUGUUAGUUCAGUUCACUGUGACAAAUCUUUCUACUGCUUGUCCUAUUGGUUUCUACUUUAACUUGCUGUGCACCUGGACGCUCUGACAAACUGUUGCACUGUCUGUCCACUUGGAUCUAAAAUUUGGACAAUAAGUAAUAUAAGUGCAGUUCCAUGACAACUGAGCAAACAACAUCUGCUGGUGAAGAUUGUGUGAGAGGGUCAAAAGCUCCAGCGUGAAUAAACUUUGAGUUGAGGAUGUUUCUCAUACAUUUUUCCCUUGGUAUCUGUAUGGCUGUAAGGAUGGCGUUGUUGGUCUGUGAGUUGGUCAGUCAACAACUUUGGGCCAAACUGAAAAUAUUUGUUUUAAAAUUAAUAAUGCAUUUAAAUUUAAUAAAAUAUUGCCAACAUGAGUGUUAGUUAGCUACUAAGAUGGUGAAUAUGGCAAGCAUAUCUACUUAGCUCCAUCAGAUUAGCACUGACAUUGUGAGCAUGUUAGCAUGCUAAUAUUAGCUUUCACCUCAAAGCACCGCCGUGGCUGGGAUCAGCUUCUCAGAGCUGCUAGCAUGCCUGAAGACCAUAGACUGUAAAUGCAGAUGAACUACGAGAUAGCUAAAAGUGAAGCCAAAACAUCUGGAUCGCCCCUGGUGGCUGGCUGUAGUGGAGGUCAAAAACCCAGGAGGAUAUGGGCUUAAUAGAUUGAUGAAGGGGGGGCAGAGUAAAUGGAACAUAGACAGCAUUAGUUUCCAUGGAAUAUAAUACAUUUUCCCAACCAUAACUAACAAAACUUGCUGUAUGUUAUGUUUUACGUGGACAUUGGUAAUAGUACAAUUUGUCUAAGCAAUAUAGUUGAUCAGUUAUGGCUAUCAAAAGUAAUACAAUUGCAUCAAACAUUAAACAUAUUAAUAUUAAAUAAUAAUUUGAAUUAACAUCAAAGUUCC